rnacentral:rRNA from 1 species
UGAGGAAUAUUGGUCAAUGGACGCAAGUCUGAACCAGCCAUGCCGCGUGCAGGAAGACGGCUCUAUGAGUUGUAAACUGCUUUUGUACGAGGGUAAACGCAGAUACGCGUAUCUGUCUGAAAGUAUCGUACGAAUAAGGAUCGGCUAACUCCGUGCCAGCAGCCGCGGUAAUACGGAGGAUUCAAGCGUUAUCCGGAUUUAUUGGGUUUAAAGGGUGCGUAGGCGGUUUGAUAAGUUAGAGGUGAAAUGUUAGGGCUUAACCCUGAAACUGCCUCUAAUACUGUUGAGCUAGAGAGUAGUUGCGGUAGGCGGAAUGUAUGGUGUAGCGGUGAAAUGCUUAGAGAUCAUACAGAACACCGAUUGCGAAGGCAGCUUGCCAAACUAUAUCUGACGUUGAGGCACGAAAGCGUGGGGGAGCAAACAGGAUUAGAUACC